AGAUUAUGAGGUAGGCUCAUCGCAUAAUCAAUGGCUUAUAUCUCUUAGGCUUGAUAGCUCUAAGUAUGCUUUGGGUGGUUAGGCUCUGCAUAUUUUAUGGAACCCUUUAGUCUGUUGUGUAAUAUUUUGUAGAUUGGUCCUUUUCAAAUUUCCCACGGAGAAGCAGCACGUGUCAAAGUAAGAGUUCAGCUAAAUCUCCACGGAAUUGUCAGCGUCGAUUCAGCUUCUCUAAUAGAAGGUCAUAAGGAGAAUAUGACUUCUGAAGAGAUGAUAUCCGAAAACAACCAUCAAUCUUCUGCGACGAAGGAUGACACUUCAAGCUCUACUGUAAAAUGAUCCUAAGGCUAUCAAAAGAACGGAGAUUCCAGUUGUUGGGAACGUCUCUGGUGCAUUGACAAAGGAUGAGUUAUUGGAGGCCAAACAGAGAGAGAACUCUUUAGUAGAGAAAGAUCUGAAGAUGGAAUCUACAAAGGAUAAGAAAAAUGCUCUUGAAUCCUUUGUUUAUGAGAUGCGUGAUAGGGUACUCGAAGCUUCCACUUUCAGAUUUUAAACAAAAAGGGUUUUGUUCCCUCUUCAAGAAUCUCAUCACUUGCAAGAAUUAACAUUGGGGGCAGAUGUUAAAUACAUAUAGGAACACUGCAACCGAGUCAGAACGGGAAUGCAUAGCCAGAAAUUGUUCUAACGGGGCUCGGUUCAUGAAUGUUCUUUUAUUAACUGAUGAAAUUGAAAAGGAUCUUGAAUGCGUUGCAGGACGUGCAAGUACAUUGGGAAAUCAAACUCUCUUCCUACCAAAUCGGAACAUAACGGAUCACAUGGAAGUAGAAAAUCAGAUGAUAUGGGGCUUGAUUGAUUUUUCACCAAGGCCGCAUAACAGUCUCAUAGUGUAACUCAUGUUCGGUUUCUUUUAUUUUCUUCUCUGUCACUGGUUUGAAUUUUGAGAAUCCAAUUUUUCCGCUAAUCAACUUAACACAAUUUAUAUAAAAUUUUAUUUUUAUUUUGUGUCUGCAUGUGGAAUUUUCUCAAUUUCAUUGUCUGUAAGGUGAAUAUUUUCAACAGUUUAAUAUUUGAAUAAAUUGGACCGAUUGUGACA